GAUGAACGCUAGCGGCAGGCUUAAUACAUGCAAGUCGUGGGGCAGCAGGGGUGUAGCAAUACAUCUGCUGGCGACCGGCAAACGGGUGCGUAACACGUACGCAACCUUCCCGUUACUGUGGCAUAGCCCAGGGAAACUUGGAUUAAUACCACAUAUUAUAUAGAGAGGGCAUCCUUUUUAUAUCAAAGCUUCGGCGGUAACGGAUGGGCGUGCGGUUGAUUAGGUAGUUGGCGGGGUAACGGCCCACCAAGCCUACGAUCAAUAGCUGAUGUGAGAGCAUGAUCAGCCACACGGGCACUGGGACACGGGCCCGACUCCUACGGGAGGCAGCAGUAAGGGAUAUUGGGCAAUGGACGAAAGUCUGACCCAGCCAUGCCGCGUGAAGGAUUAAGGUCCUCUGGAUUGUAAACUUCUUUUCUCUGGGGCGAAAACCAGCUAUUCUUAGCUAUUUGACAGUACCAGAGGAAUAAGCACCGGCUAACUCCGUGCCAGCCGCCGCGGUAACAC
rnacentral:rRNA from 1 species